rnacentral:sRNA from 1 species
CUUGGUCAUUUAGAGGAAGUAAAAGUCGUAACAAGGUCUCCGUUGGUGAACCAGCGGAGGGAUCAUUACAGAGUUGCAAAACUCCCACAAACCAUCGCGAAUCUUACCCGUACGGUUGCCUCGGCGCUGGCGGUCCGGAAGGCCCUCGGGCCCCCGGAUCCUCGGGUCUCCCGCUCGCGGGAGGCUGCCCGCCGGAGUGCCGAAACCAAACUCUUGAUAUUUUAUGUUUCUCUGAGUAAACUUUUAAAUAAGUCAAAACUUUCAACAACGGAUCUCUUGGUUCUGGCAUCGAUGAAGAACGCAGCGAAAUGCGAUAAGUAAUGUGAAUUGCAGAAUUCAGUGAAUCAUCGAAUCUUUGAACGCACAUUGCGCUCGCCAGUAUUCUGGCGAGCAUGCCUGUUCGAGCGUCAUUUCAACCAUCAAGCUCUGCUUGCGUUGGGGAUCCGCGUCUGACGCGGUCCCUCAAAAACAGUGGCGGGCUCGCUAGUCACACCGAGCGUAGUAACUCUACAUCGCUAUGGUCGUGCGGCGGGUUCUUGCCGUAAAACCCCCAAUUUCUAAGGUUGACCUCGGAUCAGGUAGGAAUACCCGCUAAACUUAAGCAUAUCAAUAAGCGGAGGAAAAGAAACCAACAGGGAUUGCCCUAGUAACGGCGAGUGAAGCGGCAACAGCUCAAAUUUGAAAUCUGGCUUCGGCCCGAGUUGUAAUUUGUAGAGGAAACUUUUGGUGAGGCACCUUCUGAGUCCCUUGGAACAGGGCGCCAUAGAGGGUGAGAGCCCCGUAUAGUCGGAUGCCGAUCCAAUGUAAAGUUCCUUCGACGAGUCGAGUUGUUUGGGAAU